rnacentral:rRNA from 1 species
GUCUACGGCCAUGCUACCCUGAACAAGCCAGUCCCAUCUGAUCUCGGAAGCUAAGCAGGGUCGGGCCUGGUUAGUAUUUGGAUGGGAGACCACCUAGGAAAACCAGGUGCUGUAGGCG